rnacentral:rRNA from 1 species
AGUGGCGGACGGGUGAGUAACGCGUGAGAAUCUGCCUUGGGGUCGGGGACAACCACUGGAAACGGUGGCUAAUACCGGAUAAGCCGAUUGGUGAAAGAUUUAUUGCCCGAAGAGGAGCUCGCGUCUGAUUAGCUAGUUGGUGAGGUAAGAGCUCACCAAGGCAGCGAUCAGUAGCUGGUCUGAGAGGACGAUCAGCCACACUGGGACUGAGACACGGCCCAGACUCCUACGGGAGGCAGCAGUGGGGAAUUUUCCGCAAUGGGCGAAAGCCUGACGGAGCAAGACCGCGUGAGGGAGGAAGGCUCUUGGGUUGUAAACCUCUUUUCUCAGGGAAGAAGCUCUGACGGUACCUGAGGAAUCAGCCUCGGCUAACUCCGUGCCAGCAGCCGCGGUAAUACGGAGGAGGCAAGCGUUAUCCGGAAUUAUUGGGCGUAAAGCGUCCGCAGGUGGCGAUUCAAGUCUGCUGUCAAAGCACGGGGCUUAACUCCGUAAAGGCAGUGGAAACUGAAUAGCUAGAGUGCCGUAGGGGUAGAGGGAAUUCCCGGUGUAGCGGUGAAAUGCGUAGAGAUCGGGAAGAACAUCGGUGGCGAAAGCGCUCUACUGGACGGCAACUGACACUCAGGGACGGAAGCUAGGGGAGCGAAUGGGAUUAGAUACCCC